AGCAUUCAGGUCAAAAGGUUAACUGGUUUCUCCAGUCCAACAGCAUUCAGAGCAAAAGGUUAACUGGUUUCUCCAUUCCAACAGCAUUCAGAGCAAAAGGUUAACUGGUUUCUCCAGUCCAACAGCAUUCAGAGCAAAAGGUUAACUGGUUUCUCCAGUCCAACAGCAUUCAGGUCAAAAGGUUAACUGGUUUCUCCAGUCCAACAGCAUUCAGAGCAAAAGGUUAACUGGUUUCUCCAGUCCAACAGCAUUCAGGUCAAAAGGUUAACUGGUUUCUCCAGUCCAACAGCAUUCAGAGCAAAAGGUUAACUGGUUUCUCCAGUCCAACAGCAUUCAGGUCAAAAGGUUAACUGGUUUCUCCAUUCCAACAGCAUUCAGGGCAAAAGGUUAACUGGUUUCUCCAUUCCAACAGCAUUCAGGUCAAAAGGUUAACUGGUUUCUCCAGUCCAACAGCAUUCAGG